rnacentral:lncRNA from 1 species
CUUGCUCUCAUGGAGCUCAUACUCCAGUGAGGGAGGCAAUAAGCAAGUAACCAAGCAGGUCCAGUUCUCCAGGAAACAGACUGUAAGAUGGAGAUCUGCAUUCAGAAACUUUGUAGAGAAGUGCUUAAAGAACCACAGCUGUGAAGGAUAAGAGAAACAGGCCUGAGCAGAAGGAGAAGUUGCACUUGAUUGCAACAGAAGCUUCAGCCAACUCCACAAGGAACUACCAAGCCGGGAUGACCCUUCAGUAAUGCCUACGAUGAGUCCUGGCAGUGCCAACUUGAUUAGAGAAGGGUUGUAACCUUGGGCUAAGCAGCUGCCUUCAAGCAAGGGCAACUUCUGACAGAGGACUCAGCUGUUCGCCUUCAGCAGCCAGCGCACUGUUAGCAUCUGGAGACUGAGUAAUUCAGUUCUGAGAGGAAAAUCUCGGUGACCCAUCACAGCUCCAUUUGCUUUCCUCACUUCUCCCUUCCCUUUCCUUCCCUUCUCUUCUUUUCCCAUGACCCAGAGCCCUUACAUUCCUUUGAUCUCCUUUCCCCAGUGUCCUGGUUCUUAUUCCCUUUGGUUUAUGAGACAAGUUUGUAAAAACUCCAUCCCAUCUAGCUCCACUAGGAUGGGGUAAGCCUACAAGACAAUCAACCUUUCACAGUGAUAAUAUGUAAUUUCUCUUAGCAGAUCUGCAGUAAAUAUUCAAAAGAAAAUUAUUCUUUUUACAAGACUGUUCACUCUCACAACUCCUAUUCGACAUAAUAUUAGAAGUCCUAGCCAGAGCAAUCAGGCAAGAGAAGGAAAU